rnacentral:lncRNA from 1 species
UUACAAUAAAGCCUCGUGCAGUUUGCAGCAAGCUCUCGAAUCCGCCUGGUGAUUGGGGUGACCUCGAACCUGGCCUGAGACCCCGGAUACUUGAGUUUUCGGGGGUCUAACAUUUUGGGGGCUCGUCCGCGAUUUGCGACCACCCUUCACCUGAGUGGAUUCGAUCUUGGAGUUUAUAAUGUCAGACAGACUGCCAGAUCCGGACAGUGACCCAAAGUCUCCAAAGAAGAUUACGAGGCACCUCAGUUCCUGCACCUGGACCAGUGAGCGAGAUGCUCAGAUGUGAAACCUGCCGCCUGCCAGAACCUGGCCGAGAAUGUGGACAAAGCUGCUGGACACUGGAAAAUUGAUUGUACCCCUUUGCCUAGACAAAACAAGGUCAGUCUUUUCCAUGUCCCUCUUCCACAGAGAGGAAAAAAACUCUCACAGUAUAGGCCUGGCGAAGAUUGCUGGUCUUUGAGACACCUGCCUCCAGCGGUAAUGGAGAAACUUGGGUAUGGACUGGCUUCUAACUGGCUUCUGUCACUUUUUAGUAGAUUCGGACAAAAUAUACCCUUCUCAGAUCUCUGAAAUAUUACUGGUUGUUUUGCUAAGUUCCUCAUCGAUCCCUACUGUGUCUCAGAAGCGCCUUGACCCUGGUCCUGAUCUCUUCCUUCCUUUUCC